UUUUUUUCCUGUCAAGUCUUUGAGAUCCUGUGUGUCUCUAGCCUGUUUCGAUUUGGACUGGCCUCACUUCAAGGACUCGACAGGCACCUGCGGCUUGUGGCUGGUGGCUCACGCGGACAUUACUGCACAGAUCUGAUCAUCGGAGAGCGACCACGGCACCUGAGGCACGGAGAUGCCACUCAGCGAGGGUCGCACCAGGGGCUCCUUUGUUGAACAUCUGAAGACUGAUCUGGCAGAACAGAGUAUGUAAGUCCCCUCCAGAGCUCCUGCUCCAAGGCCAGACCCCAGAAGGUGCCUUCAGGGAUGAAGUGUACCCUUCCGCUUCUUACUCCCCUAAGAAGACGUGGACACACACAGGAAGGGAGGGCAGCUGUGGUUUUAUUUAUUUGAGAGAGAGAGCGUGCACAGAGGGAGAGAGAAGCAGACUCCUUGCUGAGCAAGGAGCCCAAUGCAAGACUCCAUCCCAGGACCCUGAGAUCAUGACCUGAGUCGAAGGC